UAAUUUUGAGAUUAAGGAGAAAUAACACUUUGUCAAUUUUUGGUGUUUAACUUCGUCACUUAGGUUUAACAAAUCGUCCUUCAUCCCCAAACUCACAGAAGUUCGUAGUUUUCUUCCCAAUGGCAACAACGUGGUCGGCAACAAAUAGUUCAUUUGCGGUUCGUCCGAGCUUCCUCUCGUUCGUUCUUCAUCUGAGCUCACACUCACGCUCACCCAAUGACGACUGAGAUUUUGCGUCCUUCAUUGGAGGGUUGUUUCUCAAGCCCAAAGUUCCCCAUUCCUUUCUUCGUUUCGUUUCCUUGAAGAUUCACUCCGCUACUUCUUCCCAAUCCAACACUCACCGCCAACUGAGUAGGGCUCUAGUCGGGUGUUUUUUGUGAAUGAGCUUGCCAACUGCAAAACUCGUCAUCGAAACCAAAUUGCCAAAUGACGAACUCGUGUCCAACAAGGACACCACCUCUAAAGAAAGGUUACGGUGCGAGCAGACAAUGAUGUCAACACCACUAAGCAUCUCUGAGUUUGUGCUAUUGCUGCUACGAUGUCUAGGUAUUCUCUUGACAUAGUCUAUUAUUUGUGUUUGUAGUUCUCAUUUCAUCUUUAAGGGUACUUUUGAUGUAAAUGUGGAAAACGACCACUUUUACUGGUAAAAUGGUUAAACCUUUCUUUCUUAUUUUAAUUUUUAAUUUUCUUUGUUUCUUUGUUUUGAUAAUUCUCAUUGAAAUUUUUUUACUCUUACACGGGAUUCUGCUAUAGGAGCAUGCGUAAGAAGCUUCCUAACAACCCUAUCAUUUUUCUUGAAGGUUAUUUUCUUUUGAUAAAAGAUCUUUGCUUUAAUCAUUUGUUUUUUAGAAUCAUUUCUAAGAACAAUUAGCUUGUUUGAUACAAGAUUUACAGGUAUGGAAGUCAAUAAGUUCCUUUAUAGCACUUAUUGGUGUACUGGUAAUGCUUUUCUAACUACACCAACAUGCAUCUUCUACUUAUCCUUGUUUUUUCACUUUUUCGCUAGCCUUAUAUUUGCCUUAGUAAGAGGAAAUUGAAUUUAGGACUUCAAUGUUGUUCCUGAAGUUUAAUUCUCCAAAACAAUUUCAAUUUAUGCUACAUAUUUAGACUAGUUUACUCAUGGAUUGAGUGACUAAUAUAUAAAAGCAAUUCUGGUUUUACUUUACCUAAUAAGCAGGUAUACAAGGGAUUGUUCUCGCUAGGCAUGUUUGUAAUUCUGUUUGUUAUAAUGUUUGAGGUAGAUUUGUUCAACUUUUCUUCGACUCAUCAAAUUAAGAUUGAAAUAUAAUAAAUCCUCAGCACAUGAAUGUUGUUCAUAUUCACGUUUUUUUUCAGAUUUUUGCCAUAAAUAUGAAGGGCAUUGUUGGAAGCUUAGUAAUCUUGGUUAACCAGACAUUUUCAUUGAUUGUUGCAUAUACUUUUAACUUUCUCAUGAGUUGCAGUUCAUCAAGUAAGCUUCAAUUUACUCUUAUUUCAUGUUUUCCACUCUAACACAUACAUUAAUUUCCUCUAGAGACAAGGCACAAAAAUCAGUAAUGUUAGUUUGAAAUGGUGAUUUAAGCCAAGAAGAGGGUUGAAUUGGCUGUUUAAAACUUUUUUGAAAGCAUAAAACACCUUUUGAUGGAAUCAAAUAGACUAUGAAAUUUUAGUUGAUCAAAAAACAAAACAGUUGACUAAUUUGUUCUUAAGCCUAUGAAACAGUCGAUCAAAAUUUCAAAUCAAUCAGCUAAAAUCUUGGGAAUUUAUGCAGAAUGCAAAAUUCACAGAUUUAACUCAAACAACAAACUUUUAUACACAAGACUUGUUUCAAUUAAUAUUUCUAAUAGGUAUACAACAUUAGACUACACAGAAACAUGUUGAAGCUCAAAAAAGAAUGAAUUCCUUGGUUUUCUUGAGUUUUUAAAGUGAUUAAAGUGAGUGAGAUGAAGGAAAGAGAAUUGCAUAGUUAUUUUUAUACUAGUUCACCCAAUCACAAAGCUACAUCUAAUUUACUAGGACAAUCUAAGUCUGGUUUCCACUAUAUUCAAAAGUUUUACAAAUCACACACCAAAAUUACACUUUUGAACAAAGAAACUAACAAGAUUUUUGAGUCACGCAAAAGUAUAGACUAACACCAUGCAAGAAUCACACUCAUAUACUUGAAAUCACAUCAGCCAAAUAACCAGAGGCACAAGAACUACAAAACCUGAUGGUGCUCAUCAUUGGCUCAGAAAGAUUAGAGAUGGAAUUCUUCUUUGUAAGUUAUGUUUUUAUUCUCGUUAGUUUGAUUUGUGCCUUUUACUAGAGUCUUGAAGACAUAAUUAAUGGAAAGUCAUUGAUGUUGGGCUAUGGUUUAUUGGUUGUUGUUUUAGUUUGGGGUUUUGUUGAUAAAGCUUGGGGUUUUCUAAUUUGCUUGAAAGGAUAAUAUUAUGUCUUAGGUUGCCUCAGAUGUCAAAUAAAUUAUUUUCUUUGAUUUGUGCCUCU